rnacentral:lncRNA from 1 species
UGAAAUAUAGGUUACAAAUUACCAAGAUUUUUUUUUUAAUCUGUUAAAAACCUUUCUAGAGAUCACAGAAUGGAUAGUUGAACUAGUUUGUGUAAUCAACAGUAUAGUAAGCCUAUGCCCCCUUAAAACCUAAAGGAAAGGUAUACAUUAAGAAGAAAACUUUAAAAAUACAGAUGACUUGUUGUAUGUCUCAAACAGUAGUGGAAAGGUAAAUGUUGUUUGCCCUCAAGAUUUCACACCUGUCUUGUGGGUAGGUGCUGUCAUUUACUAGAUGUGUCAUCUGGAAGAUUAACCGUAGUCAUUUCUUUUUCUUUGUUUCUUUCUUUUUUUUCUUUUUUUUUUUUUUUUUGAGGCAGGGUCUCACUCUGUCACCCAGGCUAGAAUGCAGUGGUGCAAUCAUGGCUCACUGCAGCCUCAACCUCCCAGGGUCAAGAGAUCCUCCCACUUCAGCCUCCUGAGUAGCUGGGACUACAGGCUCCCACCACCUAGCCCAGCUUAUUUUUUUUAGUAGAGCUGAGGUCUUCCCAUGUUACCCAGGCUGGUCUCUAACUCCUGAGCUCAAGUGAUCCUCCUGCCUUGGCUGUGCGAAGUGCUGGAAUUACAGAUGUGAGCCACUGUGCCUGGCCAACAGGAGAAGUUUCAGUGGUAGGGAACAUCUACUCAGAGGUACAUCUGCUACCUAAAAUAGAGGCUUAAAGAUUUUUACCACAAAGAGAACUUAGCAUAAAUCAAAUGGAGCUAUGGUAUGAAGUUCAUAAUAAAAUGUGAAAAGAACACUAUAUAACAGACCAAAUCAUUACUUAAUCAUAACAAAAGCUACAUAGGAAAUACAGGGCUAAGUUUGAGGUUCCAUCAUGAAUAAAGUUAAUGAAUUCUUUGCUAUGUAGCUGGGCCUCUGUCUCCCAGGUUUUCUGGGAAGCCUGGUCAUGUGUGAUCUUCACCUUGUCUUGAUGUUAUUCCAGUUACUUUAAAGAAAGUUUUCUCAUUACUGUGAUCUAGCCAACAUCUCUUCCAGCUUUCUAAGUUUUUGUUAUAAUGUGUCGUCUGUCAGUAGAACAAAUAUAGACAACAGCUUUAAAAAAUGUGAAGUUUUACAAUGAUUUUACAAAGGGCUAAAAUAUAGAUAAAAUCAUCCAUAGAGGAUGAUUAUGGUCUCCCAAGGUUUCUCCUUGGGUCUUACUGUAGCAAAUAGUAGAUUGUGAAUGAUAAUGUCUUUAGUGAAAAAUUAUCUGAGCUGUAUUUAUGUAUAGUAUUUAGUACAUAUGUGCAAAUAUAGUUACAUUAUACAUGUAUAUGUUCUAUUAGUUAUGUUAGAUCUUUUGUUGUUGUUCAUACAUGAAGACAUUAAGUGUCAUUGUUCCUGUAUUCCUAUAUUCCUCUCUUUCCACCUACCCCCACCCUAGGCAUCAUCAAGAGGGAUAUUGAAAACAAAACAAUAAAGUUAUGUUCCAAAAUUUUAUAUAGCCCCAAGGUAAUUAUGUGCAGUUUUUUAUCAGUACUUUUCCAGAAAAAGCAGAGGAAAAAAAAGAAAAGCAGGAAAGAGCAUCUAAAAUGAUCAAAGGAAGAAAUCAAUUGCAUGAAUGUGUAGGAUUUUCCAGACUCGACAGAUGAUAGCGAAGAGAGAAGAUGAUUAACAUGUAUAAAAUAAUGAAACGUUUAGGAAAGUUACAGAUAAUUUUUAUUAAACAGUCACUCAACGUUGGAGCCAUCUUUUGUUGCAAAAUUAUGUUUUAAUGAAUACUUUAUUUAUUAUUUGUUGAGACAGGGUAUUGCUCUGUCACCCAGGCUGGAGUGCAGUGGUACAAUCACAGCUCACUGCAGACUCGACUUCCCAGGCUCAAGCAAUUCUCAUACCUCACCCUCCCAAGUAGCUGGGACUACCAAUGUGCACCUCUGUGCAUGGCUGAUUUUUGUAUUUUUUGUAGAGAUGGGGCUUUGCCAUGUUGCCAAAACUGGUCUCAAACUCCUGGGCUUAAGUGAUCUGCCUGCCUCGGCCUCCAAAGGUGAUAGGAUUACAAGCAUGAGCUACCGUGGCCAGCCUGUUUUAAUAACUACUUUAUUAAUGCAUAUGUCAGUAGAGAAGUUAUGCUUAUCUUUGGUUUUUUUGUUUGUUUGUUUUGUUUUGUUUUUUGUUUUUUUUUUAGACUGAGUCUCAUUCUGUCGCCAGGCUGGAGUGCAGUGGCACGAUAUCGGCUCACUGCAACCUCCGCCUCCUGGGUUCAAGCGAUUCCCCUGCCUCAGCCUCCUGAGUAGCUGGGACUACAGGCACCCACCACCAUGCCUGGCUAAUUUUUGUAUUUUUAGUAGAGAUGGAGUUUCACCAUGUUGGCCAGGAUGGUCUCAAUCUCUUGACCUCGUGACCCACCCGCCUCGGCCUCUGAAAGUGCUGGGAAUACAGGCGUGAGCCACCGUGCCCAGCCGAUUUACCUUUAAGGCUUAAAAAAGGAUAAAAAGAAUACUUUUACAUAAGUUAGGUACUCAUUUUUAAGGAUAACAAAUUCUUAGUUGGUGUUUACUGCAGGCCAGGCACUCUUCUAGGUGGUGAAAAUGAGCAUAAAUCAGAGUCUACUCAUGUCUUUAAGAAACUCAGCAUCCAAUGGGGGCAGCAUAUAUGUUUAAAAAAAAAAAAGUACCUCAAUGUGAUCAUCACAGUGUUUGAGAUCCCAGGCUUAAUGGUCUCAUAUAAAGGAUGAGUGAUCAAGGCAUCGUUGAUGUUUCAGGGGAGCCAGGAGAUGAUGAGGCAUGGCUUAUUAAGGAGCUAUGAGACAGCUCGUGUACAUUAAGGAAAUUGAGGCAAUUUGUUAUGACUGGUACGUAGGGUCUGUGAUAGGCAAGAUACGACAUGUCCUUGGUCUCAUGAAGCUUAUGUUCUAUAGCUUACUUACUUUGUGUAGUCAUAGAAUAAGUAAACAAUGGGGAAAUCCAGAUAGUGAUAAAGAUGAUGGAUUUUUUAGAAGGCAAGGUAAUAUAAUAGAGUUUCGGGAUAGAGAGGGUGAUAGAGAAAGUAGGGGGUCGAGAGGGGUGGUGCACUGCUGCGUAGGGUGGCUAGGGAAUAGCUUGCUGACAGAAU